rnacentral:rRNA from 1 species
UACGGAGGGGGCAAGCGUUGUCCGGAAUUAUUGGGCGUAAAGGGCUCGUAGGCGGUCUGUCACGUCGGGAGUGAAAACACGGGGCUUAACCCCGUGCCUGCUUCCGAUACGGGCAGACUAGAGGUAUGCAGGGGAGAACGGAAUUCCUGGUGUAGCGGUGAAAUGCGCAGAUAUCAGGAGGAACACCGGUGGCGAAGGCGGUUCUCUGGGCAUUACCUGACGCUGAGGAGCGAAAGUGUGGGGAGCGAACAGG